AAAGCAGUAGUUUAAUGGUAAAACACCAGUAGAUAGUUUUAAAAAUUACCUGAAGGUCAAUUAAAACUUAUUUCAAUCAUCCCAGGUACUGGUGAUGUUGGUUCGACUCCAACCUGCUUUA
rnacentral:tRNA from 1 species